rnacentral:rRNA from 1 species
UACGUAGGCAGCGAGCGUUGUCCGGAGUUACUGGGCGUAAAGGGUGUGUAGGCGGUUGUUUAAGUUUGGUGUGAAAUCUCCCGGCUCAACUGGGAGGGUGCGCCGAAUACUGAAUGACUAGAGUGCGGGAGAGGAAAGUGGAAUUCCUGGUGUAGCGGUGAAAUGCGUAGAUAUCAGGAGGAACACCGGUGGUGUAGACGGCUUUCUGGACCGUAACUGACGCUGAGACACGAAAGCGUGGGUAGCAAACAGG